AUGGCCGAGGCAGCCUUCUACUACUUCUCUGACGUCCUCGGCUCGACCAGCGACCGUGCCUUCUCUCUAGACCAGUCCUUACUGCGCGGCGCGCCCUUCGACCUCUCCGAUCUUGAGGCGCCCUUCACGGAGGAUGAAAUUUGGAGGGCCGUCAAAUGCCUGCCGACGGGGAAGGCUCCUGGCCCGGAUGGAUUCACGGCUGAGUUCCUCCGCGCAUGCUGGGACAUCAUCAAGCAUGACAUUUGUGAGGCGUUUGACAAGUUCUACACCGCCAACGGGAGAGACUUCUAG
rnacentral:rRNA from 1 species